CGCCCCUCCUCCCUUGGUGUGGGAUCCAUCUUGGGUAUCCUCCUUGUUGGUGUGAGGCAUCACACCAGUACCUCUCCUCCCUCAUUUGAUUGGAUUACGAAGGUGAUUUGAUCGGAGUUCAUCCCACUUUUCUGCUUCGUCUAGCGUGUAUGCAAAGUAGAGGGUCUGUACUUUCAGGAUCCCAUGAAGGUUUGUUUCAAAUUUUUAGAGAUUUGAUCUCUGAUUCCACUACUAGUCAGAUAAGGAUUUUGAUCCUUAUUCAUAUGAUUAAUAGUUUUCCUUCUUUUCAUGUGAAU
rnacentral:lncRNA from 1 species